UACUGGAAGUCCUAGCCAGAGAAAUUAGCCAAGAAAAAUAAAAGGCAUGCAAAUUAUAAAGGAAGAAUUAAAACUAUCUCUACAGAUGACAUGAUUCUAUAUAUAGAAAAUCCUAAAAUAUCCACAGAAAAAUCUAGAGCAAUAAAUUAAGUAAAAUUACAGGACAUAGGACCAGCACACAAAAAUUAGUUAUAAUUAAUAAUCCAAAAAUGAACUUUAAAAAUCCUAUUUAUAAUAGCAUCCAAAACAAUAACAUACAUAGGAAUAAAUUUAACCUCUAAAUAGAGGGAAAGAUUUGUAUACUGAAAACUAUAAAACAUUGCGAACAAUAUUAAAACCACAAUUAAAUGGAAAGACAUUCCAGUUUUGAUUGGAAAACGCAAUAGUGUCAUAUUAGUGUACUAGGUUUGCCAUAACAAAAUACUGCAGAUUGGAUGGCUUAAACAACAGAAAGUUAUUUCUCAUAGUUCUGGAAACUGGGUAAUCAAGAUCAAGGUGUCGGCAGAUGAGAGGCUUUCUCCUUGACCUGCAGAUGGCCAUUUUCUUGCUGUGCCCUCACAUGGCCUUUUCUCUGCAUGUGCAUAUUCCUGGUAUUUCUUCCUCUUCAUAAAGAACACAGCUCCUACUAAGAGUCCCAUUCUUAAGGCAUCAUUUAACCUUAAUUGACUCCUUUAGAAUGCUAUCUCUAAAUAUAUUCACACUGUGAGUCAGGGCUUCAACAUAAGAGUUGUUGGGACACAAUUCAGUCCAUAACAACUGGUAAGAUGGCAGUAGUCUGAAAAGCAAUCUAUAGAUUCAAUGCAAUCUCCAUCAGAAUUCUAAUAGUCCUUUUUUUUUUUUUUUUUUUUUUUUUACUUUUGCAGAUUGCAAAACCCGACCCUCAAAUUCAUAUGAAAUUUCAAGGGGCCCAAAUAAUCAAAACAACAUUGAAAAAGGAAAACAAAGUUUGAAGACUCAAACACCCCAAUUUGAUCCAUGAGGACACAGGUUUGAUCCCUGGCCUUGCUCAGUGGGUUAGGGAUCUGGCGUUGCCAUGAGCUGUGUUGUAGGUCACAGACAUGGCUCAGAUCUGGCCUUGCUGUGGUGUAGGCCACUGGCUACAGCUGAUUCAACCCAUAGCCAGGGGACUUCCAUAUGCCACGGGUAUGGCAAAAAACCCCCAAACAGCUAAGUAAGUGAAGAGACAUAUUGUGCUUAUGGAUUGGUAAAAAUUUCAAUUUUUUCCCAAAUGAUAUAAAAGUAUGUAAUGCAAUUCUAUCAAAAUCUAAGCAGGACUUUUGAAAAAACAGGCUGACUCAAAGUUAUAUGUAAA
rnacentral:lncRNA from 1 species